GUGGAUUAGAUACCCUGGUAGUCCAUGCCGUAAACGUUGGGCACUAGGUGUGGGGGACAUUCCACGUUUUCCGCGCCGUAGCUAACGCAUUAAGUGCCCCGCCUGGGGAGUACGGCCGCAAGGCUAAAACUCAAAGGAAUUGACGGGGGCCCGCACAAGCGGCGGAGCAUGCGGAUUAAUUCGAUGCAACGCGAAGAACCUUACCAAGGCUUGACAUGAACCGGAAAGACCUGGAAACAGGUGCCCCGCUUGCGGUCGGUUUACAGGUGGUGCACGGUCCUCGACAGCU
rnacentral:rRNA from 1 species